GCUGGUGCAGGGCCGAGCAACAGCAAUAGAAGAUGCAAAAAUGACAAAGAUAAUGUGGUCCUAGCACAUUUAGGGAUGGAUUGCACUAGAUUGCCCUAGAGAAUAGAGGCACAGGGAACUGAUACAAGGCUAAUAGAAAAGCAUGUGCAAGGCAAGUCUAAGAGCAGCAGCAUUUGAAAGAGAGUAACAGACUAAGAGGGAUGGGAAAGACAUAAUGGGAGGUAGACUCCACAGGGCUUCAGAUGGAUUGCAUGUGUGAUUGAGGCAAGGAAGAGGAAGAGAAAGAACAUUUAAUGACCUCCUUCAGUGCCAGACUAUACUAGGUGCUUUGUAUAGGCUGUAUUAUUUUAAACACCUGAGAGACAGCUGUGAUUGUCCCUUUUCUCCAAUGUUGUAUAAUUUGUAGAAAGUUCUCAGAGCUGGGAUUCAAGUGCAAAGUUUCAUUCACUCAUUAAUUCAUAUAGUCAAUAUUUAUUGAAUGUCCACGCUCUGCCAGGCAUCCUGGAAGAUACCAGGGACACAAAAGUGAACACUAGAAACAAGGGUUCUAUUGGGUUCUCAAGGAACCCUUAGUCUAGUAAGGGAGGUAGAUAUUUAUCUAAAUACCCAAAUGGGAUAGUUUUAAAACAUAUCAAAAAAUUUCCAUAAGAGGUAGAGCCUAAUUUCUCUCCCAUUUAGUGUGGGUUGGACUUAAAGACAUAUUUUUAACAAAUAGAGUCAAGCAGCAGUGACAACAUCUGACUUCUAAGUCUAGGUCAUGAAAGACAUUGGAGCUUCCUUCCCACCUGCUGUCUCUUGGAUCACUUGCCCUGGGGUGAGCCAGCUGCCACGGAGAAGCCCACAGAGGAAGAGCGGAACAGUUCUCAAUGGCAAAUGGAAGUUGCAGUGAAGCAGCACCCAGAGCCAGUGUCAGGCUCCCGAGAGAGCGCUGCACCGCUGCAUGUGGUUUCUGGUGCUCUACAUGUUCGGAGAAACUUAUCUGGUAGUGAGCUAUAGAAACAAUCCCUGCAAGCGUCGUCUUUAUAAGGUCAUUUUAAUGACUAUUUUUCUCCUCAGGAAAUAGGCAGUACUGAAGACAGAGAGAUAAAAGGGGCGGUGCUGACACACGUAGAUGACUGGGGCUCUGACAAUGACCGUGAGCUGAUGACCUGAGUCACACAAACUGGAAAACAAAGUUUUUCCCUAAGGAGUUGGACUUUUAAAAACUUUUUAUUGGCUGCUUUUGGAUUAAGGUGUUUAGGACCAGCAUUAUGAGCAGAAGGACUCAGUGUGUAUGAAGAAGAAACCAAGUUUUUCUACAGCAGAAGAGGAGGAAUUUGCCUUUGCAAAAUGUUAUACUGUUUUAUCUGUCGCUGAACGUGUCUGGGCAGUGGCUGUUCUCCCAGGUCUGAGUCCUGAAAAGGGAAAGAGAAAGAGAUUGUAGGACACGGUGAAAUGAUACACGAAACAGCGUUUCCCCAGCUUCUUAUUUGCCUGUACAUUUCUCAUAAAUGGAGUAAAUGCUGAACAAGCUGACUUUCUCCCAUCAUUCCUGUAAAUAAGGAUAUGACUCACAGACCUUGCAAUCUCUAAAAUGCCAUAGCUACUACAGUGAUUUGAUUAUUUAAAAAUAGCUGGGGAAAAAAACAGCAAGAAAUUGGUCCUGGGUAAGUUAGGAUGAAUUCUUUUCUGUUUGUUUUUGUUUAUCAUUUAAAUUGUUAUUGUAUCUCACCCUAAGUAUUCUGACAACAUCUAGUUUGCCAAACAAAUCUUAGGGAUUUAUGAGUUCUGGAAACUAACAAUAUGAACGUGCUGGUCAGAUCUCAGAUCCCAGGCAAAUAAACCCAAAAAACAAAAAACAAAAGACAACAAGACACAAGGUUCACCAUGGAGUCACUGUGAUCUGCGGGCAACUAUGGAUUUGGUUAUAUGAUCUCCUUUUCUAUAAAGUGGAGAGAGAUAAGUGUUGACAUCACUUAAAUACGCUGAGCCCCACCCCCAAAUAACACAAAUGCUGGUAACAACAAUAAUUUAUAUUAAGCCUACUGAACGGCUUUUGUUGAUCUUUAACUAGCCUAUCUAGAAAUGGGAAACGAGUGACCUCUAUUAUUACUCAAGUACUAAAACUCCCCAAGUAGGACUGUUUGUCAAAACUAGGAGUGAGUUUGAGAUUCAGGAUUAAGGUUCAAGUAGGGAAUCUCCAUUUACCCUGCAUCUCAGUCUUACACUGUAUUAUCAGGGUCUUGGGAGGAAAGAGAAGCACACUUAAGAAGGCAUGAUAAAAAGAGAAAGUAAUGAAGGGAUUAUUAUAAAGUUAGAGGAAGAGUUAAGGGAAAUAAGAAGGGUUGAUGAGGUCCUUGGGGUGGCUGCUUCAGGGAAGUCUUCUCUAGGCUUUCAAGGGCAAGCAAAGGACCACUGACAUUCCUCACAAACUUGCACUUUGGUGAGGGAGCCGGGCCACAGCUGACCUAGGGCUUAGCAGAAAAUCUCUCUCUCCUUCUGUCCUUCCAUCCUCUCCUGGUGGCUGCCACUGGCCAAGCCCAACUACAAACGACAGAACAAGGGAGCUUGGUUGCUGGGGUCCAUCAUACAGCCAGUCUUUCAGGGUGCAGAGCAGGGUGAAUGGGUGAAGAGUGGAUCUGCAGGGGAACAUGGAUAGUGUCGGGCACAGACCACUGACAAACGAAAGAGAUGGAAAUGCUUCAGAAAAGAAAGCAGGAUGGCCAGGUCGGUGGUUUUUUUUUUUGUGUGUGUGUG
rnacentral:lncRNA from 1 species